rnacentral:rRNA from 1 species
CGGGGUGCAGCAGGCGCGAAAACUCUACAAUGCAGGCAACUGCGAUAGGGGAACAUCGAGUGGCGUCCAUAUUGGAUGUCUGUCCUCCCGCCUAAAAAGCGGGAGUUAGCAAGGGCCGGGCAAGACCGGUGCCAGCCGCCGCGGUAAUACCGGCGGCUCGAGUGGUGGCCGAUAUUAUUGAGUCUAAAGGGUCCGUAGCCGGCUUUGCAAGUCUCUCGGGAAAUCCAGCGGCUUAACCGUUGGUCGUCCGGGGGGUACUACAUUGCUUGGGACUGGGAGAGGUAGGAGGUACUCAGGGGGUAGGAGUGAAAUCCUGUAAUCCUUUGGGGACCACCGGUGGCGAAGGCGUCCUACCAGAACAGGUCCGACGGUGAGGGACGGAAGCUAGGGGCACGAACUGGAUUAGAUACCCGGGUAGUCCUAGCCGUAAACGAUGCUCGCUAGGUGUCACAACAGUCGUGAACUGUUGUGGUGCCGUAGGGAAGCCGUGAAGCGAGCCACUUGGGAAGUACGACCGCAAGGUUGAAACUUAAAGGAAUUGGCGGGGGAGCACA